rnacentral:rRNA from 1 species
GCCUGGGGAGUACGGCCGCAAGGUUGAAACUCAAAGGAAUUGACGGGGGCCCGCACAAGCGGUGGAGCAUGUGGUUUAAUUCGACGCAACGCGAAGAACCUUACCCAGACUUGACAUGUACCAGACAGGUGUGGAAACACACCCUCCCUUCGGGGCUGGUGCACAGGUGCUGCAUGGCUGUCGUCGGCUCGUGUCGUGAGAUGUUGGGUUAAGUCCCGCAACGAGCGCAACCCUUGUUCUUAGUUGCUAACGGGUGAAGCUGAGCACUCUAAGAAGACUGCCGGUGAUAAACCGGAGGAAGGUGGGGAUGACGUCAAGUCCUCAUGGCCCUUACGUCUGGGGCUACACACGUGCUACAAUGGCCGGUACAAAGGGUUCCGAUACCGCGAGGUGGAGGCAAUCCCAAAAAACCGGUCUCAGUUCGGAUUGCAGUCUGCAACUCGACUGCAUGAAGUCGGAAUCGCUAGUAAUCGCUGAUCAGCAGGCAGCGGUGAAUACGUUCCCGGGCCUUGUACACACCGCCCGUCAAGCCACGAAAGUCAGUAGCACCCGAAGUCGCCGUGCCAACCGUAAGGGGGCAGGCGCCUAAGGUGAGACU